CUCCGCGUUCUUUCUCAUCGACGCGACGGCCCACCCACCUUCGCUCAGCCGGCGUCCCUCGCCGUCGCCAAUCAUCGAGUCGCUUGUGCGGUGGCAGAGCGCCGUGGCGGCGAGGCAACCUGAACCGGGUCCGCGCCGUCCCUGCUCGCCUGAACCAUCCGCGGACGCUCUGGCGAUCCAUCACCGCGUUCACUUCUUCGAGGCUCCUCUCCGACGCCGCUUCUCGGCCUCUUCCCGCGGCCGCGACCGGCGACUCUCCUCCUGCUUCCACCUCGCCCGGGUCCUCGAUCCUCCGGAAGCUCCGGGAAGUCCGAGUAUGACGCGAAGAGUUCGUCGUCCAUUCGCUCGUCUCUGAAGGAUCCCGAGCUGGUCAAGUUGUCCGCCAUCGCCGAUACACGGUCAGUUCGUUGAUCGUUAAUUCGUAUCUUUCGUAAAUGGCGAUUUUCCCGAUUCAGCACGCUUGCUUUCCUUCACUUGAAUCCGACAUUGUGUUCUUGAGCUGAGCAAUGUGGAAUAGAUUUCGGGAAUGUUGAGCGUGAUCCUCUGCUGCUAUCGGCAACUUGUUUGCAUGGUCAAGUUUUAUUGCUUCAAGUGGUUUAAUCACGGGAUGUCUGCAUGCCUGAUGAUGGGGAUGAGGUUUCAAGUUCACCACGCUCGGUUGAAUUCAAUCGCUUGAGACCAAACCUCCGGCAAAACUGCAGUUUCUGCAAUCAUUAUAGUCGAUAGACAUCUAGGAUGCAAAAAAUUCGCUUGUAUAGCGUGGCUUCCAUCUGAUGCAUUGAACUCUUCUCUUCUUUUGUCAAUGGCUCUUGUUAUUCUGAUUGUUCUUGUUUGGAUAUCAUUGUUUUUCUUCUGGCUGAGAUUGUUUGGAUAUAAUUGUUGUUCGCUGUGAAGCCUGCGAUACUUUUACUUGAUAAUUAAGUACUAGGUCGAUGCUGCAAGUCCUUUUAGGAGGGUUUUCCUGGUUGACAUUUGAAUCACUGGGUAAGAUGAUCCCAUAACAUUUGUUGUGUUGGCAUAAUUAAGUAUAGUUCAUUACAGAUUUUUUUUUCCUGAUGAACAUAUGGACUUGAGUGAUCCAAGUGUAAUGUCUUCGUUGACUGAAGCGACAUUUGCUCAAGAUCAUGAUCAAUUUUCGAGUCUUAUCUGGAUGUUUGUAACAUUCUUUAUCAGCAAAGGAUUCGCAAUUCAUAUCGAUAUCAAAAUCAUCUAUUCAUUUUUCAGUUGGAUCAUGUCCCUCUGAUGGGAGAACUCCAUUUCUCUGUCAAGUUUUUAACUCGUCCACUGCUUGAUAAGACUCCCCUCAUGGUUAUCGUUUUUGUCCAUGUAAAGACCAAAAUGUUCAAAUAUUUGAUCUAAGAAUGCCUAGCUGGAACUUUCAGAGGAUAACAUCACAACUGGUGAUUAUAUUGCCAUCAAUCCUAAAUGUACCACACAUACUCUUGCAAGUCCUGGGGUCAGCAAAAUAUCAAUACUGUGAUGCGUAUAAUUCUCUUCCGUUCUCUUUUUGGAUCAGAUUCUUGUGUUUUUCAAUGUUCUCCUAUCUUGCAGCUUAAGGUCUUUGGAUCACUAUCCUUGGGGCUACAGUAUCCGUUUAGCAGGAUUAUGUAUCAUUUUAAAUAAGAGUCUGAUGAUUUACAUGUGGAGCAUAUGAUUCCAGAACUCCAAAAGUGACGGUGCAGAGAACACAGGGCUAAAUGUAGGUGUAGUUUCGUGUCUUUGGCUCACAUGCAGUUGCAUCACAAUGACAUGAUAGCUUGCUCACUUCUCAUGUAAUAAGGGUGCAAGGUAAUAAA